rnacentral:tRNA from 1 species
GCCUUCGUAGCUCAGCUUGGUUAGAGCGCAGGAUUCUAACCGAGGUCACCGGUUCGAGCCCGGUCGAGGGCA